CAGCAGCCACGGUAAAACGAAGGGGGCUAGCGUUGUUCGGAUUUACUGGGCGUAAAGCGCACGUAGGCGGACUUUUAAGUCAGGGGUGAAAUCCCGGGGCUCAACCUCGGAACUGCCUUUGAUACUGGAGAUCUUGAGUUCGGAAGAGGUUGGUGGAACAGCUAGUGUAGAGGUGAAAUUCGUAGAUAUUAGCUAGAACACCAGUGGCGAAGGCGGCCAACUGGUCCGACACUGACGCUGAGGUGCGAAAGCGUGGGGAGCAAACAGGAUUAGAUACCCGAGUAGUCCCUGUCUCUUAUAC
rnacentral:rRNA from 1 species